rnacentral:rRNA from 1 species
UCAGAACGAACGCNGGCGGCGUGGAUAAGACAUGCAAGUCGAACGCUGAUUACAGGGUAGCAAUAUUCUGUAGUCGGAGUGGCGCAAGGGUGCGUAACACGUGGGUAAUCUGCCGUGAAGUCUGGAAUAACUUGCUGAAAGGCGAGCUAAUGCCGGAUGUGAAAAUUGGAAGGCAUCUUUUGAUUUUCAAAGUUGGGGACCGCAAGGCCUGACGCUUCACGAUGAACCCGCGGCCUAUCAGCUAGUUGGUGAGGUAACGGCUCACCAAGGCUAAGACGGGUAGCUGGUCUGAGAGGACGACCAGCCACACUGGAACUGAGACACGGUCCAGACACCUACGGGUGGCAGCAGUCGAGAAUUUUUCACAAUGGGGGAAACCCUGAUGGAGCGACGCCGCGUGGGGGAUGAAUGGCUUCGGCCCGUAAACCCCUGUCAUUCGGGAUCAAUGCGUCUGACCUAACACGUCAGACGUUGAUAGUACCGGAAGAGGAAGGGACGGCUAACUCUGUGCCAGCAGCCGCGGUAAUACAGAGGUCCCAAGCGUUGUUCGGAUUUACUGGGCGUAAAGGGUGCGUAGGUGGUCGGGUAAGUCUGAUGUGAAAUCUCGGAGCUCAACUCCGAAACUGCAUUGGAUACUAUUCGGCUUGAGGAUUGGAGGGGGGACUGGAAUUCUCGGUGUAGCAGUGAAAUGCGUAGAUAUCGAGAGGAACACCAGUGGCGAAGGCGAGUCCCUGGACAAAUCCUGACACUAAGGCACGAAAGCUAGGGGAGCAAACAGGAUUAGAUACCCUGGUAGUC